rnacentral:rRNA from 1 species
UACGUAGGGUGCGAGCGUUAAUCGGAAUUACUGGGCGUAAAGUGUGCGCAGGCGGCCGAGCAAGUCGAGUGUGAAAGCCCCGAGCUUAACUUGGGAACUGCGCUCGAAACUACUUGGCUAGAGUGUGGCAGAGGGAGGUGGAAUUCCACGUGUAGCGGUGAAAUGCGUAGAGAUGUGGAGGAACACCGGUGGCGAAGGCGGAUCUCUGGGCCAUUACUGACGCUGGAGGAGCGAAAGCGUGGGGAGCGAACAGG